rnacentral:sRNA from 1 species
CGGCGGGCGGGCGCGAUGGCGGAGGCCGGGCCACAGGCGCCGCCGCCCCCGGGCACUCCAAGCCGGCACGAAAAGAGCCUGGGACUACUCACCACCAAGUUCGUGUCGCUUCUGCAGGAGGCCAAGGACGGCGUGCUUGACCUCAAGCUGGCAGCUGACACCCUAGCUGUACGCCAGAAGCGGCGGAUUUACGACAUUACCAAUGUUUUGGAAGGUAUCGGGCUAAUCGAGAAAAAGUCCAAGAACAGCAUCCAGUGGAAGGGUGUGGGGCCUGGCUGCAAUACCCGGGAGAUUGCCGACAAGCUGAUUGAGCUCAAGGCAGAGAUCGAGGAGCUGCAGCAGCGGGAGCAAGAACUAGACCAGCACAAGGUGUGGGUGCAGCAGAGCAUCCGGAACGUCACAGAGGACGUGCAGAACAGCUGAUAUCCUCCUGGUGGUCCCUGCUGGGGGGAGUGGGCAAGGGGCCCUCUGGUUCAACUUGCCCCGGGCCCUGUGCCUCUUGGGAGCUUGUCUUGUAGCCCCUGGCCAUGGCCCAGCCUCAGGCUCCCUCCUCAGAGCCCCUCCCCUUCCACUCUUAGCCUGUGAUCCCUCCCCCGGUGGACCUGAGUCCCCAGAACUGUCUCUGAGGGCCUGUGUGUCAGACCUUGGCUAAAGAAUUGGGUCUUUUCUGUAGUCUGCCAUCUGUCACCAUAGGGCAUCAGCCAUUCUCCUUAACCCUCACACUUUGGCCUACGUC